CAAGGGGUCCUGAGACAGAAGAGAACUUAAUUCCUUUCGAUACGUCUUCUCUGGCUCCCCAUAACGCCUUUCAAAAUUAUGUUUCGUCUCUGGGCUCUUUAAUAAUUUACACACAGCGCUUCUCCAGGUUCCUGAACCCUUCUCGAUGCUGGAUUAAGACCACCAGCAGGUAGCACCUCCUGGAGGCCAGCCGGCUGGAGGGGCCAGAUAGGCAGCCAGGGUGGCGACAGGGCGAAGCGAUGGAGCCGGCACUGGCAGGCGGGGCGCAGGCACGGCCUGCCGGUUCCGGGUCCCCCACGGAUCCCCGGCGCGCAGACCCGGCAGCGCCCGGACGGACCGGGACUCGCUCCACUCGCUCCCCGCACCACCCGGCGCCGGCGGCCCCCGACCGAGCGGGCAUCCGCACGCAGCGCCCCCACUCCGGCAGCACCCCCCCCCCCCAACACACACACACACACACACACACACACACACCGCCUUUCCUGCGGGCUUCAGCUCCUUGGUGACAGCCCAGACACCCAGACGCGCGCACCUACCCCGGCCUCCGUGGCGAGACGUACAUCCCCGUGCGUGCACCCAAACUCUUACCCUCAGA